CGGAACGUGCCCGAUCGUGGGGGAUAACGGAGCGAAAGCUUUGCUAAUACCGCAUACGAUCUACGGAUGAAAGCAGGGGACCGCAAGGUCUUGCGCGGACGGAGCGGCCGAUGGCAGAUUAGGUAGUUGGUGGGAUAAAAGCUUACCAAGCCGACGAUCUGUAGCUGGUCUGAGAGGACGACCAGCCACACUGGGACUGAGACACGGCCCAGACUCCUACGGGAGGCAGCAGUGGGGAAUUUUGGACAAUGGGCGAAAGCCUGAUCCAGCCAUGCCGCGUGCAGGAUGAAGGCCUUCGGGUUGUAAACUGCUUUUGUACGGAACGAAAAGCCUCUUUCUAAUAAAGAGAGGUCAUGACGGUACCGUAAGAAUAAGCACCGGCUAACUACGUGCCAGCAGCCGCGGUAAUACGUAGGGUGCGAGCGUUAAUCGGAAUUACUGGGCGUAAAGCGUGCGCAGGCGGUGAUGUAAGACAGAUGUGAAAUCCCCGGGCUCAACCUGGGAACUGCAUUUGUGACUGCAUCGCUGGAGUGCGGCAGAGGGGGAUGGAAUUCCGCGUGUAGCAGUGAAAUGCGUAGAUAUGCGGAGGAACACCGAUGGCGAAGGCAAUCCCCUGGGCCUGCACUGACGCUC
rnacentral:rRNA from 1 species